CCUACGGAAGGCAGCAGUGAGGAAUAUUGGUCAAUGGGCGGAAGCCUGAACCAGCCAAGUAGCGUGCAGGAUGACGGCCCUACGGGUUGUAAACUGCUUUUAUACGGGAAUAACGCGCCUUACGUGUAGGGCUUUGCAUGUACCGUAUGAAUAAGGACCGGCUAAUUCCGUGCUAGCAGCCGCGGUAAUACGGAAGGUCCGGGCGUUAUCCGGAUUUAUUGGGUUUAAAGGGAGCGUAGGCCGCAUGUCAAGCGUGCUGUGAAAUGUCCGGGCUCAACCCGGGCCUUGCAGCGCGAACUGGCGUGCUGGAGUCAGCGGAAGGCAGGCGGAAUUCGUCGUGUAGCGGUGAAAUGCUUAGAUAUGACGAAGAACCCCGAUUGCGAAGGCAGCUUGCUGCAGCGGAACUGACGCUGAUGCUCGAAAGCGCGGGUAUCGAACAGGAUUAGAUACCCGGGUAGUC
rnacentral:rRNA from 1 species